rnacentral:lncRNA from 13 species
ACAAUCUCUUUGCUAAUCCCCUACCACUAAAUUUCUAUAAUCUUCAUUUAAUGUAUUUCUCCAUAGGCCACAAGUGUCAGAGCCGCACAGAUACUUCUUUGUUUAGCCAAUUCUAUUAUAACUUUCACAAAAGAAUUUAAAGUCCAUAGUAUAACUGAGUUCUUCAAAGUAGAAUAUGGUAUAGAGCUUAUCAUGAGGAAUACAUAUCUAAUCAUUGCCUUGUUUACUUUCAACCACGGAAAAAGGACCUAAUAAAUGAUGCCGUUCAAGAAGAGUGAAGGCCUCCUGGCAGUGUUCUCUUUAACCAAUGAUGUCAGUUAAGAGGAGUAAAUGAAUGUUUUGUUUUCGACUGAUUAUGAGGCAACAUACGUACCAUUAAAAUUUCUUACCUACAAUUGAGCAUUCAUCUUUUAUCUAUCAAAGUAUAAGGUUAUCCAUGUAUAAGGCUGGCUGUAAACUCCUUCACAAAAAAAAUACAGCCCAUAAGUGCACAUAACAGACCCCCUUUCCACUUCCAUUGUUUACAGAGGCAUAAGGAAAGGAAAAUAUUCAAAGAUAAGAGUUUCCUGACAGUAGAAGUCUUCAUCUGUGAACUUUGGAAAAGCUGUUCACAUCAAGGAUGCCAUCAUCUUCUUGGGAGAAAUUACCUGGAAGCCUUCUCUGACCUCAGAUUGAUCAGCAUUAUCACCUCCACAGAAAUAAUAUACUUCAUUCAAAACACAACUGGACAUUGACUGAUUAAUGUUGACAUCUACUGCACUAAUAUUUCCAUAAAGAUGACAAUGGAAAGCUCAUCACAUGGAAUUAUUCAACCUCUUUGGUCUGGAAACAUGAACAUACAUCUACAACAUUUUUUAACCAUUGAGAGGACACAUUGAUUUGAAAGUCUGUCUCCUAUUUUCAACAAUCCAAACUUCAUUUCUAUGGAAACAGGACUCUAUAGCCUGCAGGUAAUGUUAACUCAGCCUCUAAUGCUAGUGCUGGUAGCUGACUUCCAUUUCUUUUCCCUGUGAAAAUAGAUGUCAAAAUGGUUAGGACCAAGGAAAGGUCUUGCAAUUCUUCUUAUAAAAAAAAUUAUCUUAUUUCAGUCUAUCCAAUUUCUUCAGAAACAAGAUGCUAAAGGCAACUAGAUAUUGAGAAUGAAACUACCAGCUAAUCCCAUACUCCAAGGUGUCAGGCAAGUCUAUGAAUAAACUUA